AUUUUUAUUUCAAGUUGUGGCUUCCCUUCAUAGGCUGUGUGAGAUCAAAGGUUACGCAUCAGCUCUAUGCUUCUAUUACAUUAUCAGCAAAAUGAGGAAUGGUGUGGAUGCAAGAAAUGCAUUACAUCUCUAAAGUUCUUCACAGAGACUAGAGUUGCAAGAAGCACUCAUUAUUUAAGCAUAAGUGGUAUCAGCGAAGAGCUGAAGUGAAUUAAUCCUCUUAUUAUUAUAAUAAGGAGCAAAUUUCAAGCCUCAAACUGGAAAGAACUCAAUACAGUAGAAUGGAUAAAUAAAUCAUUGUCACUUCUAUUGGAAUACUACAUAGAAAUGAAAAUGAACUACUGAGAUAUGUACCAAUGUGGUAAGUCAUAAUGUAUGAUUUAUACAAAGUUCAAAAACAGAUGAAACCAAUCAAUGGUGAUAGAGAUGAAGACAAUAGUCAUCCUGGGUAGGGGCCAGUAUUGAGAGGGAGAUUACACAAGUGAACCUUCUGG